GAAUUUUAUAUAGCAUGUUACUGACUUGACCAUAUGCUUAGCAUAUGGUACUUCAGAAAAGUUGGAUGUGUGAUAGUUUGAGGAGUUGAAGAAAUGUAAGAGGGAACACCAUUGAAUGCCAAGUGAACUAUUCCCUUUUUUGGUUUAAGGUUCUAAUUAUAGCAUCUGGAAACUGAAAACGCAUAGGGAACUAUCAGUGAAUGUUGAGCUGUGGAUGUAAUUAUUUUGGUACUUGUCAUUCCCGUUUGAUUGCGACUCUGUUAUACUCUUUAGUGUCCAGAAUUAAGAUAAAUGAUCUUUUAUUCCCAAUGUUUUAUGUAUUUAAUGUUGUUCAUUAACCUUGUAGGCUGUUGCGUGGGUUGUGCUUG
rnacentral:misc_RNA from 1 species